AGUCACUGACAUUAGAUACCCCGGUAGUCCAGGGUGUAAACGCUGCAGACUUGGUGUUGGAGGCCCUUUGGGGGCAUUCAGUGCCGGAGAGAAGUUGUUAAGUCUGCUACUUGGGGAGUACGUCCGCAAGGAUGAAACUUAAGGAAUUGGCGGGGAGCACCGCAACGGGAGGAGCGUGCGGUUUAAUUGGAUUCAACACCGUAAACUCACCAGGGAAGACUGUUACAUGAAGGCCGAGAUGAAGACUCUGCUAGAUUUUCAG
rnacentral:rRNA from 1 species